rnacentral:lncRNA from 1 species
UAUCACUUAUGUAAUAAAAGCAAAUUGCAAACAAACAAAGAUGGGUAUCCUAAGACACUUUCCUUACUGUGAUUUAAAUCUUUCACCAGACUACAUUAUAUGACAUCUGCACAAUGUAUGUGUGCUAAAUGAUAAUGAAUUGCAUCAGACAGACGGAGAGAAAUUAAACCCCUGUCAGCUAGGAGAUAGUGUCUGUAAGGAACUGCAAGGGAAGAGGAGGCAAACAAAGUGCUUGACAGCAGAGCGAAGGAAAAAAGUGAACUUCUUGGGAGAAUCUGAACUACAAAUGUCCUCUCUGCACCUGAGUAUAAAGGAGGAUUGUCUCUGCCCAUCUUCCAGAAGGGAAUGCCUGUGCACAGAAAAAUGAUUACCUGUGUCAAUUACUGGAAGUUAUUUGAAGAGUAUUUGCUCACAGAGUGGCAAAGAAUACAGAAGCAACAGAUUAUAACUUCAAAAUAAAAUAGAAUGGCUGAUCCCUAUUUUUUAUUUU